rnacentral:rRNA from 1 species
GAUGAACGCUGGCGGCGUGCCUAAUACAUGCAAGUCGAGCGAACAGACGAGGAGCUUGCUCCUCGGACGUGUGCGGCGGGCGGGUGAGUAACACGUGUAUAACGUACCUAUAAGACGGGUAUAACUUCGGGAAACCGGAGCUAAUACCGUAGAAGAUAUUGAACCGCAUGGUGCAAUAGUGAGAGACGGUGUUGCUGGCACUUAUAGAGGGAUCCGCGCCGCUUUAGCUAGUUGUUAAGGUAACGGCUUACCAAGGCAACGAUGCGUAGCCGAAGUGAGAGGCUGAUAGGCCACCCUGGAACUUAGACACCGUCAUGACUACUACGGGAGGCAGCAGUAGGGAAUCGUACGCAAUAGGCGAAAGCCUGACGGAGCAACGCGGCGUGAGUGAUGACGGUCUUCGGAUCGUAAAACUCUGUUAUUAGGGAAGAACCACUGUGUAAGUAACUAUGCACGUAUUGACGGUAACUAAUAAGAAAGCACCGGCUAACUACGUG